rnacentral:rRNA from 1 species
GACGUAGGGCGCGAGCGUUGUCCGGAUUUAUUGGGCGUAAAGAGCUCGUAGGCGGCUUGUUGCGUCGGCUGUGAAAACCCGUGGCUUAACUGCGGGCUUGCAGCCGAUACGGGCGGGCUGGAGUUCGGAAGGGGCAACUGGAAUUCUUGGUGUAGCGGUGAAAUGCGUAGAUAUCAAGAGGAACACCUGCGGCGAAGGCGGGCUACUGGGCCGAUACUGACGCUGAUGCGCGAAAGCCAGGGGAGCGAACGGG